CGCCUGCUGCUUGCUGCUCAGCAUUAGCUCCUGCAGCUGCUCCUGCUGCUGCUGCUGCUGUUGCUGCAGGAUGCUCUUGUUGUUCUGAAUGGUUAUCAAGGGCACAGCAUUCAGGAUGAUGUUCUGCUGUUGCUGCUGCUGCUGCUGCUGCAGGUGCUGCUGUUGGUGUUGCAGCAGCUG
rnacentral:sRNA from 1 species